UUGUAUUUAUAAUUGAUAAUACCUCAUUUGCAUUCCUUAUUUAAUGUUUUGUGUGUGUGUGUGUGUGUGUGUGUGUGUGUGUGUGUGUGUGUGUGUGUGUGUGUGUGUGUGUGUGUGUGGAUAUGUGUGUGUGUGGAUAUGUGUAUAUGUGUAUAUAGAUGUGUGUGUGUGUGUGUGUAUGUGUGUGGGUGUGUAGUUGUGUGUGUGUGUGUGUGUGUGUAUGUGUGUAUAUGUGUAUAUAGAUGUGUGUGUGUUUGUGUGUGUGUGUGUGUGUGUAAAGAUAAUAAUUGCAUCUAACCAGUUCUAUUUAGUGCUUGAAACAGUGUUUGCUGAAUAUAUGCUGGCCCAUUGUCUGAACUUAUCUCUGAUUGAAUUUCAAACCUUGGCAUGACUUCUCUAGUCAGAAACUUGAUUAUUGUAGCCGUACUUUGGUCUUUUGAUGGGACUGCUUCUACCCAUCUGCUGAACCUGUCAAGGAUAACUAACAUGCACAACAUGUCAACAUAGUUCAUGACCAAAUGUCAAAAUGGUCCUUCAGGUGUGGGAAUGUGUCCCAAUGUAGCAGUGAUUGUUUUUCUUACAUUGUUUUUUGCACAUCAUUUAUACUCAUUUAGUUGGUUUAUCAAUUAUUGAUUGCAAUUAUGGUGAAGAAAAAACCUUGUUUUCUAAUUCUCAACACUCCUCAACACCUCCCCCCUUGCGCAAUGGUCAAAACCAUGCGCAUUUAAAUGAUAGGCGAACCUAACAAUGCCGUCGGUGGAACCAACGUUGGAACGCCUAACCCUAACCAUCCAUAAACUAAAACCAAUCUAUUGGGAAGGGAAAUCGAAGCCAGCAUAUCCAAAACCAAAGGUUGAUAUUGGUGGGUUUACCAUCAGCCGCCUUGAAACCACGCCGUUACCAAGUCAUGCACUAAACCGAAAAGAUUUCAUGCAGCAAUAGGCCUUCACACCUCAACGGGCAAAUAAAACGUAACAUGCCUGUCCCAAUACCACCACCUCUGCUGCUGGGGCUGCCAUAUCUGACCCCUGUUCCCCCUCCACCUUUGACCCUCCGGCUCUUCCUAUGAUGGUUGCAGUUUGUCACUUCAUGAUCAAGUGAGCCAGUGCUCACAGUGACUGCCAAGUAAUCGUGACUGUGCCUGUUUUAGGUUGUCCCGGGCUUCAAGGUGGGAUCUUACCCGUCGUUGGCUAACCAGCCUUCCAUACUGGCUUAGUGCAGGAUGCCGUGCCUGGGAUACAAUCAAUCCCCACCCAUAAGGUGGUUUUGACCGCAAAGUGGAGGGAUGGAGACAGAGUCUUCAAUCACAAUUGCCCAUGCAGCCAAGGCUGUAAUGGACACACCAGAGCAGCUACAACAACAACUAAAAUUUGACCCUGUGUGUGCGGGGGGUAUAUGAUG